GAACGAUACGGCGUCGAGCGGCGGACGGGUGAGUAAUGCCUAGGAAAUUGCCCUGAUGUGGGGGAUAACCAUUGGAAACGAUGGCUAAUACCGCAUAAUGCCUACGGGCCAAAGAGGGGGACCUUCGGGCCUCUCGCGUCAGGAUAUGCCUAGGUGGGAUUAGCUAGUUGGUGAGGUAAGGGCUCACCAAGGCGACGAUCCCUAGCUGGUCUGAGAGGAUGAUCAGCCACACUGGAACUGAGACACGGUCCAGACUCCUACGGGAGGCAGCAGUGGGGAAUAUUGCACAAUGGGCGCAAGCCUGAUGCAGCCAUGCCGCGUGUGUGAAGAAGGCCUUCGGGUUGUAAAGCACUUUCAGUCGUGAGGAAGGUAGUGUAGUUAAUAGCUGCAUUAUUUGACGUUAGCGACAGAAGAAGCACCGGCUAACUCCGUGCCAGCAGCCGCGGUAAUACGGAGGGUGCGAGCGUUAAUCGGAAUUACUGGGCGUAAAGCGCAUGCAGGUGGUUUGUUAAGUCAGAUGUGAAAGCCCGGGGCUCAACCUCGGAAUUGCAUUUGAAACUGGCAGACUAGAGUACUGUAGAGGGGGGUAGAAUUUCAGGUGUAGCGGUGAAAUGCGUAGAGAUCUGAAGGAAUACCGGUGGCGAAGGCGGCCCCCUGGACAGAUACUGACACUCAGAUGCGAAAGCGUGGGGAGCAAACAGGAUUAGAUACCCUGGUAGUCCACGCCGUAAACGAUGUCUACUUGGAGGUUGUGGCCUUGAGCCGUGGCUUUCGGAGCUAACGCGUUAAGUAGACCGCCUGGGGAGUACGGUCGCAAGAUUAAAACUCAAAUGAAUUGACGGGGGCCCGCACAAGCGGUGGAGCAUGUGGUUUAAUUCGAUGCAACGCG
rnacentral:rRNA from 1 species